rnacentral:rRNA from 1 species
AACCAGCACCUCAAGUGGUCAGGAUGAUUAUUGGGCCUAAAGCAUCCGUAGCCUGUUCUGUAAGUUUUCGGUUAAAUCUAUGCGCUCAACGUAUAGGCUGCCGAAAAUACUGCAGAACUAGGGAGUGGGAGAGGUAGACGGUACUCGGUAGGAAGUGGUAAAAUGCUUUGAUCUAUCGAUGACCACCUGUGGCGAAGGCGGUCUACCAGAACACGUCCGACGGUGAGGGAUGAAAGCUGGGGGAGCAAACCGG